rnacentral:tRNA from 1 species
GUUCAGGUAGCUCAGCUGGUUAGAGCAAAGGACUGAAAAUCCUUGUGUCAGUGGUUCGAGCUUCUUCAAUA